AUGCAAGUCUACUUGAACUUCGGUUUGGGUGGCGGACGGGUGAGUAACGCGUAAAGAACUUGCCUCACGGUUAGGGACAACAUUUGGAAACGAAUGCUAAUACCUGAUAUUAUGAUUUUAGGGCAUCCUAAGAUUAUGAAAGCUAUAUGCGCUGUGAGAGAGCUUUGCGUCCCAUUAGCUAGUUGGAGAGGUAACGGCUCACCAAGGCGAUGAUGGGUAGCCGGCCUGAGAGGGUGAACGGCCACAAGGGGACUGAGACACGGCCCUUACUCCUACGGGAGGCAGCAGUGGGGAAUAUUGGACAAUGGACCAAAAGUCUGAUCCAGCAAUUCUGUGUGCACGAUGACGUUUUUCGGAAUGUAAAGUGCUUUCAGUUGGGAAGAAAAAAAUGACGGUACCAACAGAAGAAGUGACGGCUAAAUACGUGCCAGCAGCCGCGGUAAUACGUAUGUCACAAGCGUUAUCCGGAUUUAUUGGGCGUAAAGCGCGUCUAGGUGGUUAUGUAAGUCUGAUGUGAAAAUGCAGGGCUCAACUCUGUAUUGCGUUGGAAACUGCAUGACUAGAGUACUGGAGAGGUAAGCGGAACUACAAGUGUAGAGGUGAAAUUCGUAGAUAUUUGUAGGAAUGCCGAUGGGGAAGCCAGCUUACUGGACAGAUACUGACGCUAAAGCGCGAAAGCGUGGGCAGCAAACAGGAUUAGAUACCCUGGUAGUCCACGCCGUAAACGAUGAUUACUAGGUGUUGGGGGUCGAACCUCAGCGCCCGAGCUAACUCGAUAAGUAUCCGCCUGGGAGUACGUACGCAAGUAUGAACUC
rnacentral:rRNA from 1 species